CGAGAGGGCCGCUACCACGCGAGUGGAUGCCAAUCCCCAAAACCUCUCUCAGUUCGGACUGGAGUCUGCAACCCGACUCCACGAAGCUGGAUUCGCUAGUAAUCGCGCAUCAGCCACGGCGCGGUGAAUACGUUCCCGGGCCUUGUACACACCGCCCGUCAAGCCAUGGGAGCCGGGGGUACCUGAAGUGCGUAACCGCGAGGAGCGCCCUAGGGUAAAACUGGUGACUGGGGCUAAGUCGUAACAAGGUAAC
rnacentral:rRNA from 1 species